GCAACUGCAGCCUCGGUGAUAGCACCUGGAAAAGGGGCACAUCUUGCCAAGGUGUGCCCAAGGGGCAGGUUGGGUUGCUGUGAUGAUGGGUACACAGGGCCCUGCACACCUGUGGGGACAGAGGUUUCUACUUGUCCUGCCUCCAUCCCAUUUCCCGUAAGGGAGGAAAUUCUCCGUGGAACUCCCCUGCUGGACUGACACUCCUCCACCGCUCGACACAUUCAGAAUCAGGCUUUCCAGUCGGAGCUGCAAAAGGAGACACAAAAAUCACAGCUCAUUCCAAGAGGUGCCUGCAGCCAGCAGCACCCAGCAGCAUUGUCACCACUGCAAGCAGCCACUGACAGCCGACCUGAGAAUGAACAUGAGGGCCAGGGAGGAGGCAGCUCAGCCUGCAGCGUCAGCAGCGCAGUUCGGCAGAGCCUGCUAAUCGUCUUGCUCAAGUUUCAAACUCUGUUUACCAAAUGACCACAGAAGCGUUUUAGCUUCUACUUAAUAAAAAAAUCCAGCUUGUA
rnacentral:lncRNA from 1 species